AUUGAACGCUGGCGGCCGGCCUAACACAUGCAAGUCGAACGAGUGGCGGACGGGUGAGUAAUGUCUGGGAAACUGCCCACUGGAGGGGGGUAACUACUGGAAACGGUAGCUAAUACCGCCUCCAAUCGGAUGUGCCCAGAUGGGAUUAGCUAGUAGGUGGGGUAACGGCUCACCUAGGCGACGAACCCUAGCUGGUCUGAGAGGAUGACCAGCCACACUGGAAUUGAGACACGGUCCAGACUCCUACGGGAGGCAGCAGUGGGGAAUAUUGCACAAUGGGCGAAAGCCUGAUGCAGCCAGGCCGCGUGUAUGAAGAAGGCCUUCGGGUUUUAAAGUACUUUCAGCGAGGAGGCGUUACUCGCAGAAGAAGCACCGGCUAACUCCGUGCCAGCAGCCGCGGUAAUAC
rnacentral:rRNA from 1 species